rnacentral:tRNA from 1 species
GCGUGAGUAGUACAGUGGUUAGUAUAUUUCGUUGCCAACGAAGUGACCCGGGUUCGAAUCCCGGCUCGCGCA